GAAAAAAUGGCUCUGGCAGGAGGAGCUCAGGGUUUAAGGAGUCCGGUCUAGGCGGGAGGCGCGGCCCACCGGCCACCGUCUCCCCCUGCACGGCGAGGGUGGUCCUCCGCAGUCACAGACUCCUGGGAGCAGAAACGCUCCUCGAUUCUGGCCGGCGGCGGUGCUGCCCUGACGACGCAGGACUGUAACCACGGUUGCCGGGCCCGCGUGAGAACCGGCUCCCAAGGAGACUGAGCCGGCGACUAGUCAGCUGGACCCUGUACCGCUUAGCCAUUCUUUCUCCAUCCUUUCCCUUGCUCCCCGCACCGCUCCCUCUCUAGUAAUCUAAUUACGAAUGAUACUGGGCAACUCUUCUGCCGCUUGCGAACAUUACAUACGUAUCUUCUUUGAAGAAACAUCUGUUGUUCAAAUUGUUUGCUUUUUGCUUUUUUUUUAUUAUUAUUGGUUUUGAUUGUCUUAUUGGCUGGAGUUGGGGGUGUAGCUCAGGGGGUCUUGCUUGCCUUGUAUGCCCAAGGCCCUGGGAUCCAAUUCCAGGACCAGCAAGCAAAACAAUCAACACUGGGGAACAAAAACAAACAACAGAAAAGCCCAACUUUAUUAGCUAUGUGGUUUACAAGUACUUUGAUCCAUGCUAUAGGAGCAGGUCGUCUUUGUUUUUUAAGGUUUCUUUUUCUGUCGUGUGUGUGUGUGUGUGUAUGUGUGUGUGUGAGUAUUUUGCCUGCAGGUACGUCUGCACCACUUGUAUGCAAUGCACGGAGAGACCAGAAGAGAGAAUCCGAUUCUCUGAACGGGACUGGCAGGUGGUUGAGAGCCACCCCAGGUGAGAUCCGGGGAGUCUUCAGGCCGUCUCUCCAGGCCCUGCUGUAGGUACAGAACUGUUGGCAAUGGUUGCCUUCUCCUCUCCUUGCCUGGUAUCAUUGCUGUCACAGAAGCUUCCUGAAUUUGCCGUGGCUUGCUGUGAAGAGCAGAGUGGCCGUGCGCUCACAGAAAUGGCCCUGCUUCUGCUCCCCAGCUACUGAGAUUAGGACCCAGACCGUUUUUUUAAAAAACGUCUAGCUUGCCUAUCCCAGCACCACGGAUAGCUUCCCCAUGCAAGGAUUGGCUUCCGAUCAGCUACCACAGAGAAGAGUUCCGUACACAAGCACACAUCCGCUAUUUUAACCCUUCCCUGUGUCAGGCUCAUUCCUAUGGCACGAUUCACGGAUCUGUCCCUACCACCAGACAUUUGAACAUCACGAAUACCACACACUGUGAACACAGCCACGCGCGCAAUUCCUGAAGCGCAUGCCUAGCCUGGCGCAUCAUGUCUGCCACAGUUACACACAAAGACAGGGAGGGUUGGGCAGUGAUUCUCAAAAUCCCAAUCAUGAAAGAAGUUUUUCCUGAAGAACGUGCUAUUUAUUUGAAUGAAGCAUGGAGUCCGAUGAAGGCGCUGCGGGGGACACAGCCGGCCUGAGGGGCAGCGUGCUAGCUUGCCUGGCACUCUUGAGGUCCUGGGUUCCAUCCCUCAAAGAGAUCCCAGGAGGAACUAGAGAAGCGGCUCAGCAAUGAAGAGCUCUCUGGGAACAGGUGCCCUCCUCCAGCCUCUCCCGGCACCGCUCGUGCACGUACGCAGAGGCAGGUAAAAACACACUCACACAGGUAGAUACGGACUGAGACUGUCGGUGCAGCUCAGCUGUGCGAGGCUGCUGCCCCUUCUGUCCGGACUACAUUUCCCAAUGGCCCCAGCAGGGGCUGGGCCGUCGCCCCUUUGUGUCCUCCAGGCAACCGAGGCGCUUCUUCCCUGGCCCUUUCCUCCGAGGCUACAUUCUGUCAAGGGCCGCGGGUGUGGCUCGAGUAGAGAGUCCUGAGCAUUCCGGGCACUUCGUUCUGCUGGUGACGAGUGGGUCGGGGAGGGGCCAGCGCAUCUCCCGGUCGUCUGGCUCUCUGGGUGCCCCUCGGAGUGAGACAGAGGUUGGUCCAGCGCGGCGAGGCUGUCACCCGCUGUGCGAGUCCACCGUGUGACAGGGUGCGAGCGAGUCUACGGCCUGUGUGCACGGAUGUGGAGCCUCUUGGUGGCUAGAACGUGAGACCAUUGCUAGCGAUGCCAGCCCGUGGCAGCAGAGUGUUUUGAGACUUGGAGGUGUAGGACGGGGUGAGCGUAAUGUUUACACCCAGGGCCUUGAACCGUGGCGUCUUUGUGACAGUGGCUGACAAGGUAGUCUUUGAAGCUUUGGGUAGGCGAGGCUCCUGAAACUGUCACCGGUGUCUUGCCAAGCUAACCAAGAGGUGACAGCGUGCUACCAAGCUUCCUAAUCGCUCUUCUAGUACAGAGGAGGGCGGCUGAGGGUGGCUGACUUACACGACCCUUAUUUAAUCGUAGUGACUUAUGUAUUCGAGGUGUGUCUUUAUCUAAGCAACCACAUUUCAUCUGCAAACUCUGUAAAGGUGAUGGCCAAGUAAUGAAUUGGAAAUGACUUCGGUGAGAAUUUUUUUUUAAUUUAUUUGAUUUUAUUUUAUGUGCAUUAGUGUGAAGGUGUCAGAUCCCUUGGGAUUGGCGGUACAGACAGUUGUUGAGCCGCCAUGUGGGUGCUGGGAAUUGAAUCCGGGUCCUUUGGAAGAGCAGACAGUGCUUUUAACCACUGAUCCAUCUCUGCAGCCCUUCAAGUUUUAUUGUAUGCAAACAAUGCUAUGUCUCCGUCAUGCCCUGUUUUUUGAAGGGAAGGUUGCAGCAGGAGGAAGAAGCCAAACAUGGGAGAUAGUGAGAUGCUGAGAGGAGUGCUUGGUUUGUCCUGUUCUUUUCCUAUCUCAGCCAUCGGGGAUCGUCAUUCCUGAAGAGAAGAGUGAGUGAGAGCAAAAUGACCUCUGCUUUAGAAAAAAGGAAGAGGAGAAGGGCAGAGGGCUCAUGAGUCUGUUCUCUACUUUCCCUGGGGAUAACAUCUAACCAAACACGGUACCUGUACAGUGAUGGAGGAAAGAAGAAACUUGAGGACAGUCUUGUGAACUGAAACUGCUGCACUCAAGCUCACCAAUUUCGCACGGUGUCCAGGAUACACCCAGUUCCCGAGCCCCCAAAAGACCUACAGGAAUCGACUCCGUUGCAAAACACACGCGGGUCUUUUUAUUACAAGCUCGAGCCGGGUGGCUGCCCUUUACAAAGACAUAUAGGCAAGCGACCCCUGGCUCCGGGAGAUCACAGUUUUUAAAGGAACAAAAACGCCAGUGGGGUAGUACGAGCCUUGGCAUUACAGGAUUGGGUAAGAGGAACAAAACCAAGCGGGGUGGUCUCUAGGGAAGCUGACCUUUAAAAUGACUGGUCUGUUUUUAGGCGCCAAGACUGCUAACAGUCAGGCCUAGCUACCUGGGAGACAUCUGACCUCUAGUUCUUAGGGGCCAUGUGACUCCAGUCAUAACCCUGAGUUUUAUCUGGGUGGGGACUGCUGCUGGCCCAUUAUCUGAAAGGAAUGUGGUCUUGUGAUUCUGCCCCAGCUCCAUGAAUUAAUUCUAACCUUUCACUACAUUGCAGGUGGGAGUGGAUUCUUCCUCUGGUCUCUAGCCUCUACUAUCCCUGGCUUUGUCACCCAUGAACUUGAACUACCUUCUUAUUUCCUAACUUAUGAAGAGGGUCAAUUAACUUAUGAAUUGGACCAGUUCCAUCAACGCUCCCUUAUCUGUGCUUUACCUUGUAGCUGAGCAACAGCAGUUAUGGGGGUGAUGGGUUUCCAUGCUUUCUUUGCACAUGGUAACUUCUUGGCUUCCGUUUCCAAUCCUGUGGCUGUACAAUUCACCUAUGACAUGAUAUAUCUGAUUGUGGGUGUCCUUAAUGCAAAGAAACACUGCCCAGUCCAUAACUCUAUACAUCUCUGUGAAUGUCCAAAUAGACUGGCCAUUCUGAGGCCGUGGACUCUGGCUCGGGGUUUUAUACCUUCACUAUAAACAACACUUUUAUGCACUUGUUUAAUACACUUUUAUGCACUUGUUUAAUACACUUUUAUGCACUUGUUUAAUACACUUACACAAAGGUUAAAAAAAAACUAUGACAGAAUUUCUGGUUUGUUUAGAGAAGGGUCUUGCUAUGUAGACCAGCCUGGUCUCCCACUUGUGGCAAUCCUCCUGCCUCUGCCUUCCUAGUUGCCGAGGUUAUGAGAGACCAAAAGAUAAAUUAGCAGCUGUUAUUAAGACCUGAAGUAGGUAGGAAAAGUCUAGUAAUGCCCUGAGGGGAAGGGCCACCUCACUGCAUUCUUUCCCCACCCACUAGAGAUACAGUUGCUAGGAAACUGGCCCACCCCCCCUAGGGAGGGACACCAGGUCAUUAAUGGUCUGGAAACCUUUCUAUAGCCAAUCAAUUCAAAAUGUAGCAUUUUAACCAAUAGAUGCUUGCCAGGCAGGAAUCGCCCCUGCCUUGGCAAGGGCAAGAGUCCUUGGGAGGGACCAGAGUCUUUAAAAUCACCCAACUAACCUGGGCACCAUGCGCUCCUCUUUGGCGGUGGGGCUGUGUAGGCCCAAGCUGCAGCUUGUGAUUUAUAAUAAAAAGAACCUCAUGGUA